rnacentral:rRNA from 1 species
GUGGGGAAUAUUGGACAAUGGGCGAAAGCCUGAUCCAGCCAUGCCGCGUGUGUGAAGAAGGUCUUCGGAUUGUAAAGCACUUUAAGUUGGGAGGAAGGGCAGUAAGUUAAUACCUUGCUGUUUUGACGUUACCGACAGAAUAAGCACCGGCUAACUUCGUGCCAGCAGCCGCGGUAAUACGAAGGGUGCAAGCGUUAAUCGGAAUUACUGGGCGUAAAGCGCGCGUAGGUGGUUUUGUAAGUUGGAGGUGAAAUCCCCGGGCUCAACCUGGGAACUGCCUCCAAAACUGCUGGGCUAGAGUACGGUAGAGGGUAGUGGAAUUUCCUGUGUAGCGGUGAAAUGCGUAGAUAUAGGAAGGAACACCAGUGGCGAAGGCGACUACCUGGACUGAUACUGACACUGAGGUGCGAAAGCGUGGGGAGCAAACAGGAUUAGAAACCCGUGUAGUCC